UGCGGGGGGGGCAAGCGUUGUUCGGAAUUACUGGGCGUAAAGGGCUCGUAGGCGGCCAACUAAGUCAGACGUGAAAUCCCUCGGCUUAACCGGGGAACUGCGUCUGAUACUGGAUGGCUUGAGUUUGGGAGAGGGAUGCGGAAUUCCAGGUGUAGCGGUGAAAUGCGUAGAUAUCUGGAGGAACACCGGUGGCGAAGGCGGCAUCCUGGACCAACACUGACGCUGAGGAGCGAAAGCCAGGGGAGCAAACGGG
rnacentral:rRNA from 1 species